GACGAACGCUGGCGGCGUGCCUAAUACAUGCAAGUCGAGCGCAGGAAACCGUCUGAACCCUUCGGGGGGACGACGGCGGAAUGAGCGGCGGACGGGUGAGUAACACGUAAAGAACCUGCCCAUAGGUCUGGGAUAACCACGAGAAAUCGGGGCUAAUACCGGAUGUGUCAUCGGACCGCAUGGUCCGCUGAUGAAAGGCGCUCCGGCGUCGCCCAUGGAUGGCUUUGCGGUGCAUUAGCUAGUUGGUGGGGUAACGGCCCACCAAGGCGACGAUGCAGAGCCGACCUGAGAGGGUGAUCGGCCACACUGGGACUGAGACACGGCCCAGACUCCUCCGGGAGGCAGCAGUAGGGAAUCUUCCACAAUGGACCAAAGUCUGAUGGAGCAACGCCGCGUGAACGAUGAAGGCUUUCGGGUCGUAAAGUUCUGUCGUAAGGGAAGAACAAGUGCCGCAGGCAAUGGCGGCACCUUGACAGUACCUUGCGAGAAAGCCACGGCUAACUACGUGCCAGCAGCCGCGGUAA
rnacentral:rRNA from 1 species